AGAAUCAACGCUGGCGGCGUGCCUAACACACGCAAGUCGCACGAGAAAGGGGGACUUCGGUCCCUGAGUACAGUGGCGCACGGGUGAGUAACACGUGAAUAAUCUACCUCCGAGUGGGGAAUAACUGAGAGAAAUCUUAGCUAAUACCGCAUAACACUUUACGAGUCAAAGCAGCAAUGCGCUUGGAGAGGAGUUCGCGGCAGAUUAGUUAGUUGGCGGGGUAAUGGCCACCAGACGAUGAUCUGUAU
rnacentral:rRNA from 1 species